GGGGAUUUAGCUCAGUGGUAGAGCGCAUGCCUAGCAAGCACAAGGCCCUGGGUUCGGUCCCCAGCUCCA
rnacentral:tRNA from 1 species